rnacentral:rRNA from 1 species
GACGAACGCUGGCGGCGUGCCUAAUACAUGCAAGUAGAACGCACAGUUUAUACCGUAGCUUGCUACACCAUAGACUGUGAGUUGCGAACGGGUGAGUAACGCGUAGGUAACCUGCCUGGUAGCGGGGGAUAACUAUUGGAAACGAUAGCUAAUACCGCAUAAUAUUAAUUAUUGCAUGAUAAUUAAUUGAAAGGUGCAAUUGCACCACUACCAGAUGGACCUGCGUUGUAUUAGCGAGUAGGUGAGGUAACGGCUCACCUAGGCGACGAUACAUAGCCGACCUGAGAGGGUGAUCGGCCACACUGGGACUGAGACACGGCCCAGACUCCUACGGGAGGCAGCAGUAGGGAAUCUUCGGCAAUGGACGAAAGUCUGACCGAGCAACGCCGCGUGAGUGAAGAAGGUUUUCGGAUCGUAAAGCUCUGUUGUAAGAGAAGAACGGGUGUGAGAGUGGAAAGUUCACACUGUGACGGUAUCUUACCAGAAAGGGACGGCUAACUACGUG